rnacentral:rRNA from 1 species
GACGUAGGGGGCAAGCGUUGUCCGGAAUCAUUGGGCGUAAAGAGCGUGUAGGCGGCCCAGUAAGUCCGCUGUGAAAGUCAAAGGCUCAACCUUUGAAUGUCAGCGGAUACUGCUGGGCUAGAGUCCGGAAGAGGCGAGUGGAAUUCCUGGUGUAGCGGUGGAAUGCGCAGAUAUCAGGAGGAACACCAACGGCGAAGGCAGCUCGCUAGGACGGUACUGACGCUGAGACGCGAAAGCGUGGGGAGCGAACAGG